UACGGGGGGAGCAAGCGUUGUUCGGAUUUACUGGGCGUAAAGGGCGCGUAGGCGGCCACCGCAAGUCGACUGUGAAAUCUCCGGGCUUAACUCGGAACGGUCAAGUGAUACUGUCGGGCUAGAGUGCAGAAGGGGCAACUGGAAUUCUCGGUGUAGCGGUGAAAUGCGUAGAUAUCGAGAGGAACACCUGCGGCGAAGGCGGGUUGCUGGGCUGACACGUGACGCUGAGGCGCGAAAGCCAGGGGAGCGAACGGG
rnacentral:rRNA from 1 species